rnacentral:rRNA from 1 species
UACGGAGGAUCCGAGCGUUAUCCGGAUUUAUUGGGUUUAAAGGGUGCGUAGGCGGCCUAUUAAGUCAGGGGUGAAAGACGGUAGCUUAACUAUCGCAGUGCCUUUGAUACUGAUGGGCUUGAAUGAACUAGAGGUAGGCGGAAUGUGACAAGUAGCGGUGAAAUGCAUAGAUAUGUCACAGAACACCAAUUGCGAAGGCAGCUUACUAUGGUUUUAUUGACGCUGAGGCACGAAAGCGUGGGGAUCAAACAGG